rnacentral:rRNA from 1 species
GUGCAGCAGCCGCGGUAAUACCGGCAGCCCGAGUGAUGGCCGAUCUUAUUGGGCCUAAAGCGUCCGUAGCUGGCCGUGCAAGUCCAUCGGAAAAUCCACCCGCCCAACGGGUGGGCGUCCGGUGGAAACUGUGUGGCUUGGGACCGGAAGGCGCGACGGGUACGUCCGGGGUAGGAGUGAAAUCCCGUAAUCCUGGACGGACCGCCGAUGGCGAAAGCACGUCGCGAAGACGGAUCCGACAGUGAGGGACGAAAGCUCGGGUCUCAAACCGGAUUAGAUACCCUAGUAGUCC